rnacentral:rRNA from 1 species
UGGGGAAUAUUGGACAAUGGGCGCAAGCCUGAUCCAGCCAUGCCGCGUGAGUGAUGAAGGCCCUAGGGUUGUAAAGCUCUUUCACCGGUGAAGAUAAUGACGGUAACCGGAGAAGAAGCCCCGGCUAACUUCGUGCCAGCAGCCGCGGUAAUACGAAGGGGGCUAGCGUUGUUCGGAUUUACUGGGCGUAAAGCGCACGUAGGCGGACUUUUAAGUCAGGGGUGAAAUCCCGGGGCUCAACCCCGGAACUGCCUUUGAUACUGGAAGUCUUGAGUAUGGUAGAGGUGAGUGGAAUUCCGUGUGUAGAGGUGAAAUUCGUAGAUAUUCGGAGGAACACCAGUGGCGAAGGCGGCUCACUGGACCAUUACUGACGCUGGGGUGCGAAAGCGUGGGGAGCAAACAGG